rnacentral:rRNA from 1 species
AGAGUUGAUUAUGGCUCAGGACGAACGCUGGCGGCAUGCUUCAUACAUGCAAGUCGAACGAUAAGGUCUCUUCGGAGAUACAUAAGUGGCGGACGGGUGAGUAAUAUGUAGGAAAUCUGCCCUAGAGAGGGGGACAACAGAGGGAAACUUCUGCUAAUACCCCAUAUGAGCGUAGUUGAAAUACUAUUCUUGAAAACUCCGGUGCUCUAGGAUGAGCCUGCAUCUGAUUAGCUUGUUGGCGGUGUAAUGGACCACCAAGGCGACGAUCAGUAGCUGGUUUGAGAGGAUGAUCAGCCACAAUGGGACUGAGACACGGCCCAUACUCCUACGGGAGGCAGCAGUAGGGAAUUUUGCGCAAUGGGCGAAAGCCCUGACGCAGCAACGCCGCGUGAACGAUUAAGCCCUUCGGGGUGUAAAGUUCUGUCAGUGGGGACGAAACUUGACGGUACCCACAGAGGAAGCACCGGCUAACUCCGUGCCAGCCGCCGC